rnacentral:lncRNA from 1 species
AUGCAUCCAAAACCUGGGAGCAGUGAUGGAGUUUUGGUACAAAUUCCUUUUCUUAACUUGGUAAGCGAUUACAGCCUGGGUGUAAUCACUUACACACGCAUAUCACAGCCUCUUUCCAGCCUGCUGACAGCACCAUUAGAUGAAACCAUUAACACCCAAUUAUGUGCACACAAUCUUAUCAUUCCAACCAUAAACAAGUCCUCCCACAACUCCUUCUACCUAAGAAUUAAU